rnacentral:tRNA from 1 species
CAGAAGAUAGUUUAGUUUAGAAUUCUGGCUUUGGGAGCCAGAGGUGGGAGUUAGAAUCUCUCUUUUCUGG